rnacentral:rRNA from 1 species
AAUGGGCGAAAGCCUGACGGAGCAACGCCGCGUGAGGGAUGAAGGCCUCUGGGCUGUAAACCUCUUUUAUCAAGGAAGAAGAUCUGACGGUACUUGAUGAAUAAGCCACGGCUAAUUCCGUGCCAGCAGCCGCGGUAAUACGGGAGUGGCAAGCGUUAUCUGGAAUUAUUGGGCGUAAAGCGUCCGCAGGCGGCCCUUCAAGUCUGCUGUUAAAAAGUGGAGCUUAACUCCAUCAUGGCAGUGGAAACUGUUGGGCUUGAGUGUGGUAGGGGCAGAGGGAAUUCCCGGUGUAGCGGUGAAAUGCGUAGAUAUCGGGAAGAACACCAGUGGCGAAGGCGCUCUGCUGGGCCAUCACUGACGCUCAUGGACGAAAGCCAGGGGAGCGAAAGGGAUU